rnacentral:rRNA from 1 species
CGGCUCAGUAACACGUGGAUAACCUACCCUUGAGACGGGGAUAAACCCGGGAAACUGGGUAUAAUACCCGAUAGAUCUCGACUGCUGGAAUGCAUCGAGCUUGAAAGCUCCGGCGCUCAAGGAUGGGUCUGCGGCCUAUCAGGUAGUAGUGGGUGUAGCGUACCUACUAGCCUACGACGGGUACGGGUUGUGAGAGCAAGAGCCCGGAGAUGGAUUCUGAGACACGAAUCCAGGCCCUACGGGGUGCAGCAGGCGCGAAAACUUUACAAUGCUGGAAACAGCGAUAAGGGGACCUCGAGUGCCAGGUUACAAAUCUGGCUGUCGUGAUGCCUAAAAAGCAUUGCAUAGCAAGGGCCGGGCAAGACCGGUGCCAGCCGCCGCGGUAACACCGGCGGCUCGAGUGGUAACCGUUAUUAUUGGGUCUAAAGGGUCUGUAGCCGGCCGGAUAAGUCUCUUGGGAAAUCUGGCAGCUUAACUGUCAGGCUUUCAGGAGAUACUGUCUGGCUCGAGGCCGGGAGAGGUGAGAGGUACUUCAGGGGUAGGGGUGAAAUCUUGUAAUCCUUGAAGGACCACCAGUGGCGAAGGCGUCUCACCAGAACGGACCUGACGGCAAGGGACGAAAGC